GUGGGUGUCGCUCAGUGGUGGAGCGCGUGCCUAGCACGCACGAGGUCCUGGGUUCAGUCCCCAGCACCUCCA
rnacentral:tRNA from 1 species